rnacentral:rRNA from 1 species
AUGCAAGUCGGACGAGAAAGUGGAGCAAUCCAUGAGUACAGUGGCGUACGGGUGAGUAACACGUGGGUAAUCUACCCUUUGGUGUGGAAUAACCCUGGGAAACCGGGGCUAAUACCGCAUAUUCUCGAGAGAGGAAAGCAGCAAUGCGCCGAAGGAGGAGCCCGCGGCCGAUUAGCUAGUUGGUGGGGUAAAGGCCCACCAAGGCUAAGAUCGGUAGCCGGCCUGAGAGGGCACACGGCCACACUGGCACUGAAACACGGGCCAGACUCCUACGGGAGGCAGCAGUGGGGAAUCUUGCACAAUGGGGGAAACCCUGAUGCAGCGACGCCGCGUGAGCGAUGAAGCCCUUCGGGGUGUAAAGCUCUUUCGGCAGGGAAGAUGAUGACGGUACCUGCAGAAGCAGCUGCGGCUAACUACGUGCCAGCAGCCGCGGUAAUACGUANGCAGCAAGCGUUGUUCGGAGUUACUGGGCGUAAAGGGUGUGUANGCGGUUGCUUAAGUUUGGUGUGAAAUCUCCCGGCUCAACUGGGAGGGUGCGCCGAAUACUGAGUGACUC